rnacentral:rRNA from 1 species
UACGGAGGGUGCGAACGUUGCUCGGAAUUACUGGGCGUAAAGCGCACGUAGGCGGCUUGCCAAGUCGGACGUGAAAUCCCUCAGCUCAACUGAGGACGUGCAUCCGAAACUGGCGAGCUUGAGUACUGAAGAGGAUCGCGGAAUUCCCGGUGUAGAGGUGAAAUUCGUAGAUAUCGGGAGGAACACCAGUGGCGAAGGCGGCGAUCUGGGCAGAUACUGACGCUGAGGUGCGAAAGCGUGGGGAGCAAACAGG